rnacentral:lncRNA from 1 species
CUCAGUUUGGUCCCUAGGGUGAAAAGAUCCGGGGUUGGUAUGGUCAAUAUUGGCUUCUGGCUAUACAAAUUGGGGGUAGGGGUCGAUUAAAUAUUUUUUGGCUUACGUUCACAUAUUUUAGUAUAUAUAAAGAUUCAAGCAUGUAGUAAACACCCUAAGCAUUAGUUUGAGCUAUUAUAUACCCCAAUGGCAUGCCUGGGCGGUGCUGGGGGAAGAUUUUCACUUUAAUGGGUAGUUGCCUUUAUGUUGGUUUUCUAGGCUUUGAUGAUGGUUUAUCGUGUUUUCCUUUUAAAGAAGC